GGGACGCCCCCGGGAAGAGGCGGAGCUGGGUUCGAGCGCUGGGGCUGCGGUUGGGAAACUACUGGAGGAUGUGGUGCACCAGAAUAAGAGAAUAAACCAAGAAACAGGAAGACGUGAUCCAGGCAACAGGAUAUUCCAGUAUAGUGUUGGAAACAGAAGCCCAGUAGUGAAAGCUACAGCUGCCAUAUACUUGCAGUGGAAUCACAGGAGCAAUCACAGGUCUUUAAUUUAAUUCUGGAGUGUGAGCAGGAACCAGUUAACUACAUUCAUUGUCCAACCCCCACUGGUUUGAAAGAAGACUCCAAAUUCUUGGCAUAUGAAUCAGCUGUUCGGUAGCUCCACCUUAUCCCUGCAGCGAAGCAGCAGAACCGCCAAUGGCGGCACCUCAGGAUUCACACUGUGGGUGGUGAGGCCUUCCGCUGAAGGAGGUACUGGUGGAUGCUCUCAGCAUCUCGCUUUAGCCAGGCAGCAUUCAGCAGAAUAUUUUCACAACACUGCUGGAUGGUACGCUCAGCUGAAGGAGCUGGGUGACUCUCGAAGAAAGCCUGGUAUAAAACAACCCAGAAUGCAGGAUCAUUACUAGCAAUAAGAAGUUAAUAUUACAGGUUAUGAAAAAAUACCCACUGGUCUAUAUGAAGGAUGCAUAAUCUUCAGGCAUGAGAAUUUACCACUGCCACCCUCAGGCUAAAAGAAAACAAGCAACUCCUUGGACCUGCAUAUAGGAAUUCUCCCCUUAAUUAUAUGCUUAACAACCUAAUCAAAAGUUAAUAAAGAGACAGAACCUAC
ensembl:lncRNA KPNB1-DT KPNB1 divergent transcript